rnacentral:rRNA from 1 species
UACGUAGGGUGCGAGCGUUAAUCGGAAUUACUGGGCGUAAAGCGUGCGCAGGCGGUUUGCUAAGACAGGUGUGAAAUCCCCGGGCUUAACCUGGGAACUGCGCUUGUGACUGGCAGGCUAGAGUACGGCAGAGGGUGGUGGAAUUCCUGGUGUAGCAGUGAAAUGCGUAGAUAUCAGGAGGAACACCGAUGGCGAAGGCAGCCCCCUGGGCCUGUACUGACGCUCAUGCACGAAAGCGUGGGGAGCAAACAGGAUUAGA